rnacentral:rRNA from 1 species
ACAUCCAGAGAAUUUAGCAGAGAUGCUUUAGUGCCUUCGGGAACUCUGAGACAGGUGCUGCAUGGCUGUCGUCAGCUCGUGUUGUGAAAUGUUGGGUUAAGUCCCGCAACGAGCGCAACCCUUAUCCUUUGUUGCCAGCACGUAAUGGUGGGAACUCAAAGGAGACUGCCGGUGAUAAACCGGAGGAAGGUGGGGAUGACGUCAAGUCAUCAUGGCCCUUACGAGUAGGGCUACACACGUGCUACAAUGGCGCAUACAAAGAGAAGCGACCUUGCGAGAGCAAGCGGACCUCAUAAAGUGCGUCGUAGUCCGGAUUGGAGUCUGCAACUCGACUCCAUGAAGUCGGAAUCGCUAGUAAUCGUAAAUCAGAAUGUUACGGUGAAUACGUUCCCGGGCCUUGUACACACCGCCCGUCACACCAUGGGAGUGGGUUGCAAAAGAAGUAGAUAGCUUAACCUUCGGGAGGGCGUUUACCACUUUGUGAUUCAUGACUGGGGUGAAGUCGUAACAAGGUAGGCGUAGUGCU